GAGCGUUCUGUUGUAGGUUGAAGCAUUAACGUAAGUGGGUGUGGACGAAGCAGAAGUGAGAAUGUCGGCUUGAGUAGCGAAAACAUUGGUGAGAAUCCAAUGCCCCGAAAACCUAAGGUUUCCCCCGGAAGGCUCGUCCGCGGGGGGUGAGUCAGGACCUAAGGCGAGGUCGAAAGACGUAGUCGAUGGACAAUAGGUUAAUAUUCCUAUACCGUUUUUUAUUGGCAACGAGGGACGAAGAAGGCUAAACUUAUCCAGAUAGUGGUCACUGGUCCAAGCAUUCAAGGUUAUGAGAAAUAGUGAAAAUAUUUUGAGCUGAGAUGUGAUGGGGAGAUACUUAGUAUUGAAGUAGUUGAUGUCAUGCUUCCAAGAAAAGCUUGCACUGUCAUAAAUAGAAAACGCCUGUACCCUAAACCGACACAGGUAGGUAGGUAGAGUAUACUAAGGGGCGCGAGAUAACUCUCUCUAAGGAACUCGGCAAAAUAACCCCGUAACUUUGGGAGAAGGGGUACCCUAUGGGUUGCAAUAACAAGGUCCAAGCGACUGUUUAUCAAAAACACAGGUCUCCGCGAAGUCGAAAGACAAUGUAUGGGGGCUGACGCCUGCCCAGUGCCGGAAGGUUAAAGAAGCUGGUUAGCAGUAGCGAAGCUAGUGACUGAAGCCCCGGUGAACGGCGGCCGUAACUAUAACGGUCCUAAGGUAGCGAAAUUCCUUGUCGGGUAAGUUCCGACCUGCACGAAUGGUGCAACGAUCUGGACACUGUCUCAGCCAUGAGCUCGGUGAAAUUGUAGUAUCGGUGAAGAUGCCGAUUACCCGCAGCGGGACGAAAAGACCCCGUGAACCUUUACUAUAGCUUCGUAUUGACUUUGGAUAAGUAAUGUGUAGGAUAGGUGGGAGACUAUGAAAUGCAAUCGCUAGGUUGUGUGGAGUCGUUGUUGAAAUACCACCCUUUGCUUAUCUGAAGCCUAACCUCGAGAGAGGAACAGUGCGUGGUGGGUAGUUUGACUGGGGUGGUCGCCUCCAAAAGAGUAACGGAGGCUUCUAAAGGUACCCUCAGCACGCUUGGUAACCGUGCGUAGAGUGCAAUGGCAUAAGGGUGCUUGACUGAGAGACAUACAGGUCGAUCAGGUUGGAAACAAGAGCAUAGUGAUCCGGUGGUUCCGCAUGGAAGGGCCAUCGCUCAAAGGAUAAAAGGUACUCCGGGG
rnacentral:rRNA from 14 species